CUAUUGGUACCUUACUAAUGAUGGGAUUGAGUUUCUAAGGACUUACCUCAAUCUCCCAUCCGACAUUGUGCCUUCGACUCUAAAGAAGGCUGCCAGGCCUAUCGGACGUCCCAUGGGUGGCCCUCCUGGCGAUCGCCCACGGUAUAUUCAGUUGAUUGUCCUAAUCAGGUUUAGGAUAAAAGAUACUUUGAUUUGAUUUGAAUUGAAUUGAUUGGUUAUGUUUAAUUUGCAGUGGCCCGUCGAGGUUUGAUGGGGACAGACCUAGGUUUGGUGACAGGGAUGGGUAUAGAGGUGGACCGAGAGGUCCUGCUGGAGAAUUUGGUGGUGAGAAAGGAGGAGCUCCAGCUGAUUACCAGCCUGCAUUUAGGGUAAUUCUGAUUUGCUGUAGACAUUGUCUUUGUUCAAUUGAUAACUUUUUUAGGCCACUGUUUCUUGUGUCUGAUCUAAGUUUUGUUGCAAUUCACUGCUUUAGGUUGAAAUGUACACUGAAUUUGUGGAACUAAUAGUAUAGCUGAACUUUUCCUGACUUUAGUUUAAUAUGUGGAAUAGCGUAGGUUAAAAAUAUUGUUGCUUUAUCAUAAUUGAUGACUAUAUCCUAUUUAAUUAUUCCCUUAAACUAUAAUAAGUCUCUUAUGAUUGAUGUUUGUCUGUAGUUGUUGACACAUAAAACUGAAUUCAGAAAAUAAUAGUUUGUACAUAUGUGUUAUACAUAGUCAAAAGCCAGGUACUAAUUCUGUAUUUUUACAUAAUUACACUGUUAAUAUAUGAAUGAUAGAUACAGUGGUUAUUUAUCCGAAUGAAGUAAUCCUAUUUGUACCCUGACUCUAAUGAUCCUAUUAAAUCAUAUAAUCUGUCAGAUUGUGAUCUUGAAAUUAUUCUGCAUUUAGAUGACUACAUAUUUAUAAACUAUAUUUACCUGUAUUUUCACCACUGAUACAUUAUAUAUUCAUUCUUGUGUACCAACUUUCUUUAGUAAUUAGGCCUUUGAAUUAGCCAAAUGUUUAGUCAUUGCUUUUGAACAUGCA
rnacentral:lncRNA from 1 species